rnacentral:tRNA from 1 species
GGACUUGUAGCUCAAUGGAAAGAGCGUCGUGCGUAUGCCGCCCCCGGAAGGUGGCCUCCAGCACGAAGAUCCCGGUUCGAGUCCGGGCAGGGCCU